CAGCCGCCGCGGUAAUACGGAGGGUGCAAGCGUUAUCCGGAUUCACUGGGUUUAAAGGGUGCGUAGGCGGGUAGGUAAGUCAGUGGUGAAAUCCUGGAGCUCAACUCCAGAACUGCCAUUGAUACUAUCUGUCUUGAAUAUUGUGGAGGUAAGCGGAAUAUGUCAUGUAGCGGUGAAAUGCUUAGAUAUGACAUAAAACACCCAUUGCGAAGGCAGCUUACUACGCAUAUAUUGACACUGAGGCACGAAAGCGUGGGGAUCAAACAGGAUUAGAUACCCUGGUAGUCCACGCCCUAAACUAUGGAUACUCGACAUACGCGAUACACUGUGUGUGUCUGAGCGAAAGCUUUAAGUAUCCCACCUGGGAAGUACGUUCGCAAGAAUGAAACUCAAAGGAAUUGGCGGGGGAGCACAC
rnacentral:rRNA from 1 species